AGUGAACGCUGGCGGUAGGCCUAACACAUGCGAGUCGAACGGCAGCACAGUAAGAGCUUGCUCUUACGGGUGGCGAGUGGCGGACGGGUGAGGAAUACAUCGGAAUCUACUUUUUCGUGGGGGAUAACGUAGGGAAACUUACGCUAAUACCGCAUACGACCUACGGGUGAAAGCAGGGGAUCUUCGGACCUUGCGCGAUUGAAUGGGCCGAUGUCGGAUUAGCUAGUUGGCGGGGUAAAGGCCCACCAAGGCGACGAUCCGUAGCUGGUCUGAGAGGAUGAUCAGCCACACUGGAACUGAGACACGGUCCAGACUCCUACGGGAGGCAGCAGUGGGGAAUAUUGGACAAUGGGCGCAAGCCUGAUCCAGCCAUACCGCGUGGGUGAAGAAGGCCUUCGGGUUGUAAAGCCCUUUUGUUGGGAAAGAAAAGCAGCAGGUUAAUACCCCGCUGUUCUGACGGUACCCAAAGAAUAAGCACCGGCUAACUUCGUG
rnacentral:rRNA from 1 species